rnacentral:rRNA from 1 species
GACGAAUGCUGGCGGCGUGCUUAACACAUGCAAGUCGAACGGAAAGGCCCUGCUUGCAGGGUACUCGAGUGGCGAACGGGUGAGUAACACGUGGGUGAUCUGCCCUGCACUUCGGGAUAAGCCUGGGAAACUGGGUCUAAUACCGGAUAGGAGCCAUUUUUAGUGUGAUGGUUGGAAAGUUUUUUCGGUGUAGGAUGAGCUCGCGGCCUAUCAGCUUGUUGGUGGGGCAAUGGCCUACCAAGGCGGCGACGGGUAGCCGGCCUGAGAGGGUGGACGGCCACAUUGGGACUGAGAUACGGCCCAGACUCCUACGGGAGGCAGCAGUGGGGAAUAUUGCACAAUGGGCGCAAGCCUGAUGCAGCGACGCCGCGUGCGGGAUGACGGCCUUCGGGUUGUAAACACAUUUCGCUAGGGACGAAGCUUUUGUGACGGUACCUAGACAAGAAGCACCGGCUAACUACGUG